rnacentral:lncRNA from 1 species
ACGUUAGCUGCUUGCCACAAUUAGUGUGAACUGCUCAUGGAUUUUGCUGUUUUGAUACUAAUCCUCCUUGUUUUGUGUUUUAACAGAUACUAUUGAAAAUGAGAACUACUUCUUGGCUAAAUACACAUACGGCGCAGGCAACCUGAAGACAGAAAUACUUAAAAACGGCUACCGGGGCGCUGACUCUCUGAGGUACAACAAAAUAACAAUUCUGGGCCUGAAACUGAGACCUCACACUGUCACUCUGAAUGGAAGAACCAUCCAUAGAGAUACCUUCUCCUAUGAGCUGAGUGGGAAACUCACUCUAUGGAUUUCUGCCCCACUUACUCGGCCUCUGAACAUCGCAGUUUACUAAAAUGUUCAGAAAACACUGAUAUCCUUGGCUCUCAGACAUUGAUCUUUGGUUUUAUGUAAAGAAGCAUUUAGUCAUUAAAGUGUUGCUUACACACCUGAU